ensembl:snoRNA SNORA74 Small nucleolar RNA SNORA74
CCCAACGGUUGUCACCUAUCCAGGCUAGUGUGAUGCCUGUGAUGGUGUUACACUGUUGGAAGAACAAGUGCUGCCUUUACUGAGGUAUGGCUAUAAGCACUGUUUUGGUGUUGAGACCAAGUACCUUUGGGUAGCAUUUGCAUCUCUGAGAGUGGAAUGACUCCUUCUAUGGAGUUGGUCCUAGUCUGGAUGCAUACAGU